CUUGGACUAUUUUAAGGAGUGUCUCUCGAUGUGAAAGGCAGUGGCUGCCUGAGGUUUGUCUGGUUUGGUGUCUUCCUGUGUUUCUCCCUUCUUACCACAUCCACAGCAAGGGAUUCAUUCUAGGCAUUCCAUAGAGACUGAACCCAUUCCUUCUGUGUCCUGGGAAAUGUAAAAGUUGGAAAUGCAACCCCCAUUAAAAGCAAUUCAACAUGUGAUUUGUCCAGGUGAUGAGGUAUGUAGCUAAUAUUAGUCGCCGUGAUUUAUCGAGAGAAUAACUACCUGGUGAUAGAUUUUUCAUGAAUGUAUCUCAAGUCAUCUAUCACUGUGACAAUGAACUUUUCAUAUCUGGGCAGGCCUGUGAUGGUUACAGAAACCAAUAACUCCUUUAAUAGAACUGCAUGUCCAUUAAAUUACUGGAGGGAAAGAAAGAAAACAGGAAGGUCUUACAGCUAAAAAGGGCACAACAUAGGGGAAAAAAUAACAAAAAAAGAUUCUAUGACGAGACAUUGUGAAAAAUCAACACAAGGUUUUUGUUUUGUUUUGUUUUGUUUUUUGUCCUUAGAAAUUAAUUCUACAAUGUCUUCUUUUUCUCACAAACACCAUCACCCCACGUUGAAAUGAAGCUGCUGUCUCCUCUGAAUGCACACAUGGACAAAGAAGGGCCCUGAGAAAUCCCUAGUACACAUACAUCCUGAACCCUCAGGCCUCACUGGUGUGAUGUGUUCCCUUAACUAAACUGGUACAGUGCAAAUAAUGACUUGUACUAGUUUUCUAUUUGCAGUUUUAACAAAUUUCCACAAAUUUGAUGGCUUAAAUAAUAGGAUUUUAUUAUCUUGCCAUUAGUUCUGAAGGUCAGAAGUCUGACAUUGGUUACUGGGCUAAAAUCACUGGGGCGCAUUUCUUUCUGAAGACACUAGGGAGGAAUCAGUUUUCUUUUUUUUUUUUUUUCUAGUUUCUAGAGGCUGCCCAAAUUCCUUGGUUUCUGGCCUCUUCCUCUAUCUUCAAAGCCAGCAAGGGUGGGUUGAAUCUUCCCAUCACAUGACUCUGACCUCUUCUUUUUUCCUCUUCCACUUUUAAAGACCUUUGUUAUUACAUUGGCCUCUAGGGAUAAUCCAGGAUAAACUCCCUAUUUUAAAGGCAGCCGAUUUAGCAGUCUAAUUCCACCUGCAACCUUAAUUCUCUUUUUACCACAUUAACUAACACAUUUACGGGUUCCAGGGAUUGAGUCACAGACAUUUUUGCAAGGACGUUUUUCUGCUUACCACAGGACUUAAAUUUAUUUGUUGUGUUUUUUCUUUGUGUUUCUUUGCCUCAAAAUAGUAAUAGAACAAGCAAAGCGAAGUGAUCUCUUAAGGCAGGUUCCCCAAACAGGUUAGCAUUCAAAGGUCAGCUCUCGCUCUUGCUCCUUGCUGGUCUUAGGCAAGUUACUAACCUCUCUCCAAACCUCAGCUCAUCAUCUGUAAAAUGGGGAUAAUACAAUCCUCUUACAGAAAUUGUGAAGGAGAUGGGAUGAUGUUUGUAAAGCUUCACCGUAACACCUAGCAUGUAGUAAGUGCUCAAUGAAAGUUAAAGUUUUUAAAAAGUUAGAGUAAAUGUGGUGGGGUGGGAGUGAUGAGAGAGAAGAGACAGUGCAAUCUAGAUCUCUGUACCCUGAAUCCCCCUAGAUGGUUCAGCCUUCCUUGUCGCUCUCCAUGGGUUGGAUCCUGCUCACAGAAGCCUCUCAGACUCUCUGGGUGGGUGGGAGAGGAAAAGAAAAGUUCAGCUGUCAUCUUUGCCGCCCUUGUUCUGUGGUUGCUGUUUUCUUUUCCUUUGCUGCCUCCUUCCAUCGCUGGCCCUCCACUGCAGACAGGCCGGGGGAUCGCAGCCUCGGUGCAGAGCUGGCUCAGGCUGAGUGUCCCGAAUGGAAACUGCAGGAGCAGUGGGGAGACAUGCAGCUGAGCCCCACCUCUGCCAGUUCACAAUCACUCACUGAGCCAGCCCAGCACGGUCCAAGCCCUAAACUCCCCGAGGCAUUUUGAUUAGAUUAGCCAGUGAGAGCCAGGGUCUUCCAGGACUAGUUAUGCCUGACUUUGCACAAAAGUCACUCCCUGCGAAGCCCUUGCCACUGCUCCUGGGGAGGGGAACCCAAAGUCCAGCUGACCCUUCCCCACCAGUGCAGGAGGACACUCUGGUGGUGAUCAGGGCCUGGGAGGGACCCAAGGAAUCUAAUGCAGAUGGUGGGAAAGCCUGACCUUCCAGAGCAGCAAGGUUACUUACUGGGUUGACAAAAAAGGCAAAAAGUGUUAGCAUACAGUGUUGAUAAGGAUGCAGGGAAUCUCUACAUCCUUUGGGAAAGUAAACAAACAUCUUCUCAAAUGAAAAGCACACAUACAUACCUUUCUGCCCAGCAAUCCAACUUUGAUCAAGCCUAUUGUAUUGAAGAAAUUAAAAUACUAGUACAUAACGUUGUUUGAACAGGAAUAUUUAUGAACACAAUACUUAUACAGUACAAAAAACCUUGAAAAACUUAAAUAUUCAUCAAUAGAAGGAAUUAUGUCACCAUUUAAAAGGAGAUAUUUAACUAUUGCUCUUGAGGAAUUUGGUUGCAGAGAAAUACAUAUUACAAUUUUGCAGAAAUGAAACAAAGCGAAACCCAAAGCCAACCUCCAUAUAUGUAUGUGUGUAUAUGUGUGUAACAGCACGGGGAAAGGCAUGGAAGAACACACGUCAACCUGCUACCAUUUAUUAGUGGAGGGAGGAUGUUUUCUUCCCUCUCUGUACUCUUGAAUUGCUUCAUUGUUUACAAUAACUUCAUUACAUUUUUCAAUGUUGGGAGAGGAAUUUAAGAUAAAUGGUGGGAGUGAGCGGGGGCAGGGAAGAGAAGUUGUCAAGGAAGAUACAGGAGAAAUCCCAUGCUGGGAGAACCUGGCCACUCUAGUUGGGGGUUUGCAGAAAGCAAAAGCCAGGGGUCUGGCCUGGGCACUGAGGGGGAUGGGGUGGAGUAGAGUCUGGGGGUGCACACAUUGUUGAGCGACCUGGCUAUUUGAACUCAAGGAGCUUAUCUAGAACAUCCUUUGAGAAGGCCAGAGAGGAUGAUGGAUCACUGGGUAGUAGCCUGCAGUAAGAGGAAUUUAAAACGCUUUACCAUAAAGAAUAACUGCUCCCAAAAUAUUAAAAGAAUGAGGUUCUCAAGGUUAUUUUGAAGAAUUCGGUGAGAUCCACCUGAGGAAAUUAAAUUAGUACUACCUAGCACGAGGUAACUGGCAUGUUGUCCGAAAGAGCUUUACCUAUACUGUCUCAUUUGAUACAAGGUACAAUCCUAUGAGGUAAGUAUUAUUAUCGUUAUUUUACAGAGGAGGAAACUGAGGUAUAGCGGGGUUCAGUAUCCCGCCCAUGGUCAUGCAGGUGGGAACAGGAGUGUUCCGGCUCCGAAGUCCUGGCUCUUGGAAGCCACACUAAAGGCUGCGUCCUUCCAGGGCGCAACUCUGGGCGCAAAUGUUACACUCUCCUCCCCUCACCCGGUGGGGGUGGAGUGGGGAGAAAGGGCCUUCUCCGUGCGCCUGCCGGGAUGGCCGGAGUUCGGUGGGGCCAAGCUGAGGUUCCUCUCCUGGGGCUGGGCAGGGUUUGGGCUAACUCUUCUCCCGCCGGCAUUCGGGUUUGGGGGCCGAGGCUGCCCAAGAGUUAACCUCCAAAAGGGCCCUGCAGGGGGUGCUUUCUCUACACUGUUCUUCUCUUGGGUAGUGGAGGGGUUGGUGGGGGAACCACAAGCUACAAGAUUACAAAGUUGCUAGACUCCUUAGCCUAGGGAGGUACGAUGAUUUGGGACCGGGUGUGGAGGUGUGGGCGGGGUGGGGGGUGCGGUGUCUUCCGGAGCCCUAAGCUGGCGUCCUCAGCCGCUCCUUUCCGUUCCUACCCCCCACCCCCAGCUCACCACUUCGUUUUCACGUCUGGGAGGGGAGCGGGGGGCGGUGAUGGGGAGGAGACCAACGCUUUGAUUUCCCCUGGUAGGUGUUCUGAGUGGCUAGGGAUCCUUCCCUCGCGUGCCCCUGGGUCGGGGCGGUAGACAGCUCCAGAGGAUGGACGGCCAGCGUGAAAGCUAGAGCUCGUGUAUUGUAGGGAAAAGUGGGGGUGGCGGGGAGAUAAUGGUUGAAUACCUUCCUGAUAUUUGAGGGAGAAUUCGGCAAGGGGGAAAUCUCUGGCUCCAUCUUUGGCUGACUCAUCGGAUUUCCUGGGGUGGGCUCCGGGAGAAGGCUCGGGGCUGGCGCUCCUGCCUCGGUCCGUCCAGCACCAAGACGCCAGGUUCCCGGCGGCCCUGGCCCUCUGGGGGUACUGAUUACAGUGGAAAGAUCUCUGCGUCCGCAGAAGGAGAAUUUGUGUCAAGGUUCUUGUGCGCCUUUUCUUCUCUGGGGGUUCUGAAUGAAAAUAAGUCCCAAGGUCAUCUUUGUCCCUUAGCUCUUGCCCAGAGCUCUAUCUGCGUCUCCAAGCUUCUCCAUCAUCUCCUUUUGUGUUUCAGGUGAUCGCCCACCUUUCUUCCCUUCUAACCCUACUUCCGGAUCUUUUUCCCCCUCGUUUCUCCCCGUGUCCCCCAUUUUCCACGCUCGAGUCCUUUUUCUCGUGCCAGUUUCCUCCCUCCGUCCGAUUUCCUUUCCCACGGGCCCUGGAGUUCCUCGGGCCCAGGCAGGGCUCUGGAACUGGCCUGACAUGUUCAUAAUAAGGAUUGUCAGACACGGUACUCAAGUGAACUACCUUGUCUUGAACUUACUAGGACAGAGGAUGUGAUAAAGGAGGUCCUUCUCUAAUCCCAACAGCUCCUCAAAGGCUCGAAGCCAGCCUGAGUGGGCCACUUGAAGAGCCACGGGCUGUGGGAAGAUACGGAGAGGCUACUCCGACGUGGGGAGGAGGAAGCACGGUUUCGGGGAAGUGGCCAAGUGGCUUAAGUGAGGAGGGUCUGCUUGAAGGUGGCAGGUCUGCUUGAAGCGGCUUCCUGAAGAGGUGAGCUUAUCACCGGCAUCCUGUGUCCCUUCAGGUUCCCUGAGAACUGGGUCAAGAAAGCAGGUUGGGGUAGGAAACAAACGACACCCCCAUUUCAAACAAUAACUUUUAUUUUAUACUUCUCUAUACUUUGUAGCAAAUCUUUUUUUGCUGAAUUUAAUUUAUAAUAAACUUUUUAAAUUACA